rnacentral:rRNA from 1 species
CGCGGGUGACCUAUCCUGGAGGCGGGAUAACCCUUCGAAGAGGGCUAAUACCGGAUGAGCCCACAGGCAGAGAUGCCAGGGGGCGAAAGGUAGCAGUUUACUAAGUGCAUAUCUUCUGGGAGGGGCCCACGGCCUAUCAGCUAGUUGGUAAGGUAAUGGCUUACCAAGGCGAAGACGGGUAGCUGGUCUGAGAGGAUGGCCAGCCACACGGGGACUGAGACACAGCCCCGACUCCUACGGGAGGCAGCAGUGGGGAAUAUUGGGCAAUGGGCGCAAGCCUGACCCAGCGACGCCGCGUGG